rnacentral:lncRNA from 1 species
CUUGCAUGCUGUGGCCCGGGUGGGUGCCAGCGCUGCCGCGCCGCCCGCGCCUGGCAUCCCGAGCGGCCUCCUGCGUCCCGGCCCGGCUCGCAGGUGUUCAUGAGAAAAAUGCACAAAAUCCCGACUGACCGGAAUAAUUCAUGAAGAAGGGGCUGAAUCCGUGGGUCAGAGAACACAGGACCAGUUUGCCAUCCCAAGGCGGAAGUCUGGUGACUCGGAUUUGGCCCUGCGUUUCCCACUCCUGCUGCAUCUUACCCAGUCGAGGAACGAAAGGUCUUGACACCUUCCUGAAGCAUGGGAAGAAAGGAGGUUCUGAAAGCACAGAUCCAAGACCACCAGAGGCCGGGGACAGCGAUUCCUGGAGGGGCCGCUCACACAACACCAGGAGCUGAGGAGAACUGGAGCAGGAGGAACAUGGGCCCAACAAGGGUGGAAAUACCAGCAAUUCCAAAAGUCAUCUACAUCAGUGCCCAGGACGCCCAUGCAGAACCCACUGAAUGGAAGAAAACGUGGUGGCUGCUUCCUCAAUUUGCAACUGCAGAAGCUGGAAUAAGGGCCUGAGAAGGCAGAGAAGCCACAUGAGUCCAGUCCCAAAGCUGUCAGAGUAACCCUGAGGGAACUGUCUACUGAAUUAUGACCAGUUGUGCCAACAGACAUUGAGAAGAGACCUCCUUUCCAUUGGCUCCUAUCACACCUGGCUGCCACUGCUCCUGGGAUCUGGACCAUCUUGUAUCCACCUUUGAGCGUCACUUCCUGUUUCAGCUGUGGGAGUUCUGGUCCACUUUCCCUGUGAAGAAACCUUCACUUUUUCCUCCUUUGGAGUUCUGGAUUAGACUCUUGUACCUGGAACUGGGUCAAGUUAGGCUAAACGCACCUCUAGGCAUUCCUGUUUCUCAGAAGUUGUCAAGUUCACAUCAUACCUGUUUCAUUGGUGACCAGGGGUCCACUUCUAGCAGAUGCUACCUGGCCUGGUCAGUAUUUUUCAUGGUCAUCUCUUUAGUGCCUUUAUCUCAUCCCCUGCCCAACUCAGGUGAGACUUGCCCAGUGGUGACUUCUCUCCUGGUACUUUAGAUAGGGAGAGAAAAUGUGGCUUGGUGGAUCUGCCAUCUUCUUCAGUUUGGAGGCAAUUGGAGCAUGGCUCCAUCUAGGGAGGAAAAUGACUCCGAAAGAGACUGUCCUUAUCUCAGCUUCUGCCCUGUUCUACUCUCACAAUCCUUAUUCUUGCCCUUUGUGCCUGUCGUAAUGCAGGAGAAUUGUGGUUUUCUUUUUUCUAUUAAAUAUAACUGUAGCUAUUUUCAUUAUUGCAAAACAGCACAAGCUUAUUACGAAAACAUGAGAAAUAUAGACAAUAGAAGACAAAAAAUAUUCCCAAAUUUUAUCCCAAAGACAAGACAACUAUUGAUUCAUAUAGUUAUACAAUAUCAUACACAUAUACUACAUAUAUUUAUAUAUUUAAUGUGACUAUAAUAUCACAAUACCAUUUAUAUUCUUUGAUAACACAUCUUGUCAUUUAAUGUCUUAUGAAUAUAUUUCUAUAGCAACAAGCUCAGCUAUACUGAAAUUUUAAGAGUACUCAAUUGUAUAUAUGCCCUCAUUUAUCUCAUCUCACAUAGUUUAAUGUUUAGGCUGUUACCUCCUUUUCUAUAUUGUCAUUAAUGAUCAUGGAUUUAGUUUAAUCUUCCUAUAAUUAUUUCCGUAAGGUAAAUCCUUAGAAAGGGAUCGAAGGAUGAGUAGUAAAGGUUGCAAAGCUCUCCGAAUCUGGAGCCAGCAAUAACUGCUCAGACUCCCUUAAAAAUAAGAGCUCUAGGAAGGCCACACAUGCCCUUUCCCAGAUUCCUUCCCAUAGCUACACUUGGGCAGCCCUGACUUCUUUCACCUUGCCCUGAACGGAGAAUAGCCCUGAGAGAUGGCUGAGGAACAGGUAGUGAAUGAGCGAGUGGUGGUGUCAGUUUGGGUUUGGUUUUUGGAUAAACUUCACAGUUCCUCAUUGGAUGCUGAGAAAUGAUUAUUCAUUCAUGACCCAUUUAUGGAAGAGCCAUUGCUUCCAGAUGCCAGGCUAGAGGCUGAGAAGACAGAGAUGGAUUAAACAGGAAUUCUUCUCUCAGGAAUAGCACAGCCUAGGGAAGGAAGGCCCGUGAUAGACAGCACACAUUUACUCCAUGAUAAAGAGGAAACGUAUAAGAUCAGUAAUAUAUCUCAGGGAAGAAAACUGGAACCAUCUAAAAUCCCACAGGGAAAAUAUGAGGUUCCUGCAGUCUACUAGCCCAUUCAUCUCAGCUAACACCUUUGUGUGGAUCCUUUGGUGGUGAGACUUGCUCGCUUGUGGUCAUCCUUGCUAAACACAACCUGCCCAAAGGCAUUGACCGUGUCCUUCCUUUGCACCUCUAGCAAACUGGUACCAUCUUAUACCAUGGCUUCUGAAAUCUGUUCAGUGUAAAAUCCAAAUUAGAGUAAACAAAAUUAAAGGUAAAGAGAUUCAUGAGUUGAAACAAAGACUCAAUGUUUUAUGUAUGUAAGAAAAUUUGCAUUAAUUCAUAUCCUUCUGCCUGAUAGAAACUUUCUCAGAUAUUUCAUUAUAGAAGAAACAAUCACAUUCCAGAAAAUGUGGGAAGUAGAGAAAAGGAGAAUUAUCAGCCCAUCUCACCAUCCUAACCCAGGGCAAAUAGCAUUCUAGUGACCUUUGCCCUGAAAAAUUUGUAUUAAGAUGGUGUUGAGGACAAGAGCUAAGGAACAUGUGAGUUUUUCAUCUCCAAUUUUAUUGUGAAUAAAUAUAUCUGAUAGUGAAUUAUAUUCAUGUAGUUCAAAAUUCAAAAACACAAAAACAGAGACUGAAAAGUCCAUGAACCCCAGCCUCUAUUACUUGGAGACAUCCAGGAGUCUCAGUGUCUUGUGUAUCCUUCUAGAGUUUUUGUGCAUAUUAAACCAUGCGUGUUUAUAAAAUAUGAGUUUUGACUAGAGGGCUUUGGCAAAACUGUUACCAAAUGUCCUAAAUUUAGCUAAACUAUCUUCAGUAAUUUUAAUGGCAGGCCUGAGGUACAGAUGGAGAAGAGAAAAGGAUGGAGAGAGCGAGAGAGAGAGAGAGAGAGAGAGAGAGAGAGAGAGUGCUCCUGAGGGAGAGCGUGAAAGAAAGAGCAAUCUUUCAUUUAUCCAACUAGUAUUUAUUGAGCAGAUAUUACAUCUCAGAUAUUAUUCUAUGCCCAGGUGAUACAAGAGUGAAAAAAAUUCCCUGACUUCAUGGGGAUUAAGAAUGGAAGGUGGCAAACAAUAACCAUAAUCAAAAAGUAAAUUAUAAAGUCCAUCAGAAUGUGAUAAGCGUUAUGGAAAAACACAAGUGGGGUCCAGGAGAUGAGGCACAUCAGGAGACAGUUUUAACAUGAGUGGUCAGGGAGGGCUUCACUGAGGAGGCCUUAAAGGAGGCGAGAAGAUGGGCCCUGCAGAUACUCAGGGAAAGGGCACUGCAGAGGGAAGAAGCAAUGCACAGGCCUCGCAGCAGAAGUCAAGGCCUGGAGGUUUCCAGCAGCCAACCUCCUCCAGCUCCGGGCUGUUCCUGGUAACCUGUGCCCGCAGCUGGCUUCCCUUGGAGUUCAGGUCAGGCCGGUGUGUUUGGGCCAUAGUGCUAAGCUUACUGUAUACUAGACGUCAGUUUGUCUUCUCUCUAAAUUUUGAUUCUGAUGCUUAAUUUGACUCCUUCCAAGGUGAUUCUGUGGUUAGUCUGAAUAAGGAAAGGAGAGGGGCAGUGUUAUUGUAGUAGGUAGACAAGGUUGACAUUUGGGGGUCCUGGCUUUUAAACCAAUUCUGUUUUCAAGUCUUUUGUCAGACACAUUAUUCAACCUUUCCGGUCCUCAGGUUUGUCUCUUAGGAAACAAAAAGAAUGUGCUUAGUUGGCUUUAGGGCUGUCCCUACCAUUGGUUUUCAAGCUCUGUGACCAUGUGAGCAGUCCAGGUAGGAAGUGGCAUCAGAUGACAUCUAGCAACACCAGGGGACACAGAGGAGCUUCUGCCUGCAGAGGACUGUGUGCAUGAUAUGUGCCGCCACCUCGUUUCCCUUCUAGACUAGAAGAGCCCAGACCAGAAGAGCCCAGACCAUCCUUCAAAUAGAAUAUUUCACCUGAAUAAGCCCAGAAUUCCCUAAGUGAACAGAGGAGACAUGGGGACACGGUUAAUUGCUUUGUUCUUGUGCCGUUGGCAGUAUGGUUCCCUUUAAGCCCAGAAGGGCUCCUUUCCCCUGCCCCUUGGCGGAGCUCAUUCUCCAUAUGCAGUAGGGGUGGCAUGCUGGGGCCAGGGCUCCUUGUUUUGUUCCUGUGGGCCACAGAGGUCCCCUCCCUGUUUAGUGUCUUCCAGUUGGACACAGGGAGUCUUCGUCUACCUGGGGAAUAAGACACUGAGGAGGAGGGAAGCGUGUCAUGGACACCACUCUCCUUCCAGCAAAGUCACUGUGAAUUUAAAACUCAGACUGUGUGUAAGAGGUUGUGGGGGCAGAAAGGGGCCUUUGGAAAUUUCAUUUGGAGGCAGAGGUGCUAAACAUGAAUAGAAGCCUUUGCUUUGACUCUCAGAGGGUGAGUCACCUUGGUUAUAGUUACUCUUGGUUAUUCCUUGCUUUUUCUUUUGUUAUCUCCGCCCGCACCCCCGCCAUACCCACCCAUCUUUAGCAUUCUUAGCUGCUUUUCUACAGGUCAGCUGAAAAGUGACUUGCAGAAUAGGGCUUCUCUUCCCCUAUUGGAGUUCAUGGGCAUUAUGUUUCCUAGCACUGGGAGGAAAUAUACACGACCAUGCACUUUCCACUCAUAAAGGACCCUGAGGUAUUUAAUUGUGAAAAUCAACUUCUGAUUUAUGUUACUUUCCCAGUGCCUUUUCUUUACACACAUAUGAAAAUUGCUCUAUUACUUCUUACAUUUCAUGCAGUGCCCUUUGUCUCCAUCAACUGUUGUGGAGAGAAAUUUUAUUUGGAAUAUUCAUAACAAGUCUAUCGCUAAUUAUCACUUUAACAAUGUGUUAUGGAGUGUAUCCAUGCAGUCAUCUGGAAAAGCACAUAUGCCAUGAAAUUUGGGGACUUGCUGUGUGCUGUAGGUGCCCAGUCUCAGUGUUUCAUCAGAUCUUUGCUUGGGGAGGAGGUAGAGGUGCUUUGUGAGGGAGUAUGGAGGCCUGCAUCCUGCAUUCCUGUCCUCAUAGCAACAGUUUCCAGGGUGACUUGUUUUUGAGUGUAAAAAAAACCUUAAUGUGAAACAAAAACCCUUCCCUACUCUGCAGCCCUAUUACGGUCAGCCCAGGUCAGUGCCAGGUAGACUGAUCUUAGCCACAGAGCUAAUCGCAGAUGAAGACCCUGCUGUUCUUGGUGCCAUCCUGGCACUCUGGCAAGAAGAGUGGAGCUAAAAUUGCCACCUGGUUGGCAGGCCUCAGAAGCAAAUGGAGAGUGACCUCAGCAUGUCAGAAUGAGAAAGGAAAGAAUGCCUCGGCGUUUCUUUCUUCCUGCUCUCUUUUCUCUGGGAAAGGAGAAUGGACUCACACUGGGUUUCUUCUCCAGGAUUCUCAGUGAGUCUGGGAUUUGGGAGGCUAGAAUCAUAUUUUUACCAGGACACAUGGAGCGCUUCCCUCUGAAGCUUCCUGAUGGACAUGGAUGAAGCCCCAGAGGCUGCCUCCAAAUGAGGGCAGAGUAAUGGAGCCUAAUGGAGCACAGCUCCUAGUCUGAGCACAGUCCUACCGCAGGGAUAAAUCAAGCAGCCUUUAGGUGGGGCCAGGAAGGGGACAGAGGGAAAUGAAUGACUGUGUUGAGCUCAGCAUGACUUUGUGGAUCCUCUGAAGCUUUUAACUAAGUGGAGGAUUCAGACUCAGGAAUUUACUGAGGAAUAUGACUUGGAAGGAUGGAAAGUUGCAUCUGUUAUAACAAGCUUUUAAGGAUGAGUUUUCAGAGCACUUGGAGCCUGGUUUUGUUGGAUGUUACUUUAGAAAUAAUAACUACUUAUUAUUUGUUAAGUGCUUACUCAGUACUAGGCACAUUGUUCAUCAUAAUCAAUAAUACCUAACAUUGAUGGAGUAUUUGUGAUGUACCAAACUCUCAAGCACUUUAGAUUCUGACUUAACUAGGUCCUAGAAGGAAGCCCCCAUUGGAGCCAUCACUAAUAUGUAGAGAAAUUGAGGCUCAGGGUAUUAGAUAACUUACCAGAAACACUAAGGAAACCAGUAGCUUUAGGUCAGUCACUUACCUGUUUCAGGACACAGAGCACAGAGGCUUUCCCCCUUUACCCUUUAUGAAACAGCAGGAGAGGACGGGGGCUGUAUCUCAGUGGUAGAGCUCUUGCCUAGCGUGUGCAAGGCUCUGGGUUUGAUCCCUUGUACCACAAAAACAAAACAACCAUAACAACAGCAAAACCAGCAGGAGAAAGUGCUGAGAAACAGCAAGAAAGUGGGGCACUGAAAGGGGACAGGAGUCUGUGUAGCCCUGGGUCAGUGCUGGUACAAAGCUGGCCUUAUGACCUGGGUGCUUUGCAUCUGUUAUAAUGCACUGUGAAAACCCAGUGUUAGCUGUUGUCCUAAAGAACUGAUUCAAUAAACCCUACAUUUCUGGACAUUUGGUUUCCUUGUUUCUAUUUGGGUGGCACUAGGAUUUGGGAGGAGCUAGUUGGGAAUGUAUUUAAGGAGGAAAACUUUGGAUGUGGUUUUAGAAACAAGGCACCACAACCAGACUGUGAUGCAGGCUUCAUCUGUGGACAGGUGUAUGUGGACAGGUGCAUUGUGCAGGCACCAGCGCGGGCAGAGGAAGUGGUAGGUUUGAAGGUAGCAAAAUAGGGCGGCUUUGUUGUUGUCUGGCAUGGGCCCUGCCAGGCCACAUCCAUUAACUAUGCCAACACCACUGCUAAUAGGUGGGUGAUUCAGCUCCUUCCUGCAUUUUAUUGCCCAACAGAGACUUUAAUAGCCUUUUGAUUUAGCAAGUUAACAAAGUAAGCUCUCAAGCUCCACUGUUUAACACCAGCUGGAUGACCCUGGGCCUGCUGCUGCCUGGAGCCCUCUGGUACAGUCUUUGCAUUGAAAGAAGAGAAAGCUGUGGAAUUUUCAGGCUCUCCUCGAGAGCUCCUUUUGGGGCAGCCCUGCCAGCCCAGCAUGCUUAGACCCCUCCGAUGUCAUAUGUCGCCCCCGCCCCCAUCAGUCCAGCCGCAGAAGAGAUCUGUCUAGAAGUUAAUAUCCCAGGAACCUAAAGGUUGGGUGUCUUUGAGGAAGAGUGUCAGAUGAGAAUGUGAGGGUUCCCGGAUGGGGCUCUUUAUUGAUUUCCUGGAACUAUUGUGUAACAAAUUAUCACAAACUGGAUAAUUUAAACAAUAAACACAUUCUACCACAGUUCUAAAAGCCAGAAGUUUGAACUCAAGGUGUUGGUAGGGCCAUGCUCCCUCAGAAGGCCCUAGAGAAGGACCUUUGCAUGUCUCUUACUGGCUUCUGGUGGUUGCCAGUGAUCCUUACUGUCCCUUAGCUCGUAGACACAUCACUCUGUCUCUGCCUCUGUGGCCACACAGCCUUCUCCCUGUGUACGUCUUAUAAGGACACAAGCUGUAUUGGAUUUGGGGUCCACACAACUCCAGGAUGCUCUCAUCUUAACUAGUUACAGCUGGAAAGGCCCUGUUUGAAAGCAACAUAAGAGUCUGAGGUUCUGGGUGGACCUGAAUGUCCAGGCCCUUUAAAAGCAAGUGAAAAGAGGUAGGCCAUGUGGUAGCUGAUUCACACAGCUAGAGAGAGGUGGUUUCAGACAACACUUUCUGGUACAACUUUGUGCAGUGAUGGGAAGGCCCUGUAGCUGCACUGCUGAAAAUGUGGCUAAUGCGACAGAGGAACUGAAUUUAGCAUUGUGAUUGAUUUAAAUUAAGUUAAACAGUCAAGUCAUGUGACCAGGGGCUACUGUUGCAGAGAGCAAAGCCCUCAACCAGUGAAGGUGAACCUUUUAGAAACUGAGUGCCCAAACUGCAACAUAGAACCUACUUAUUUAUCGCAAAGUGCCAACACUGCCAUUAAACCCGAAUACUGAGGCUUUAGUUUAGAAAAGACAACUCAUAUAAUAAUAUCUUUUGUCUUGAAAGAAAAACAAAUAACACACGUGUCAUAGGUUCACCACCGCUGCCCUAAACCCUCCUGAGUGUGGAAUAGGAGAAGGAGACGUGAAGGCUGUCAAAGUCUGGGCAGGGCCAUUUGCAUCCAGGAUGGCCAUCAGCUGUUUAGGAUGCUGAUCAAGGUCUGCAGGGGUCUCUUUCCGUCUCCGGCUAGAGGAAGGACAUCACAUGGGAUCUCAGCACACAGGACAAUGGUCUCGGGAGUUCUUAAACCAGCAGCACCUCUUCCAAAGGAAGUCAUUUGUACUUUUGACAUGUAGGACCAUUAGUUGGAAGAGAGGCUGAUUUGGAUGGAGGUCAGAGACCUUCAUAGGGUUCCACCUUGCCUUCUCUUGAACCCUGAACCACAAAGUGAGGAAAUUAUGGUUGAGCCUACCAACCAUGUGAGAGAACAAGAAAUGGAGGUUCAGAGAAGUAGAGAAACUUAACAAGGUCACAGAGCAAGUGGUUUGAUGAAUAUCGUUAUCUUUGGAUUUCUGAGGAUCCAUUCCUGGGUCCUUCUAAAGUCCUUGAUGCCCUUUUUGAAAGAAGAUACUCAGUCUACUAGUCAGCUACUAUGAAAAAACUACUCUAAGGUCAGAUGCAACUUCUGGCUUAAUCACAACAGAAUUAAUGUUUGUUCGGUUGCUGGUUUUGUUUUGUGAACUGGCUGAGAUCUGUAGGUGAGUAUUAUGCAUGGGUACCCUUUCCAGGUGCCACUCAUCAAAUGCACACUAUAUGCCAUUACAGGCUGAGUAGAGUCCUUCAUUUCAUUGUAUCAUUGAAUCUCCAUAGGUUGGUGAUGUUGGUAUUACUGAUCCCAUUUGGGGAAAACUGAGGCUCAUGGGAGUGGGAGGCAGGGUUCCCAACCCAUGCCUUUUGCUCAGGGAGUUGCUGUCUCCUUAGAAGGAUGGUAAAGAAAUAUAAAAUAUCUGUCAUGAAUUAGGAAGAAUGUCCUAAAAUCUCAAGGUGCCAUUUAAAGGCAAAGACCAGUGUGGCUCGUGAGGGAAGGAGAGGCCAGACCAGGAGGUGACCACAAGCAGGUACAAGGCAGCCAGGCAUCCCAACGCAAUGCUGUGGUAAGAAAGCAAGGAGUAGAACAGCGUUGUGGAAAGUGAAAACCGCCUAGGAUGUGUGGGAGGCUGGAGGCAGAUGGGUGUGGAUGAGAAGGGCAAUAGGAGGGAUCCUUGUGUGAUGGAAAUGCUCUGUCUUUUCCCUGUAUCCAUGACUUGCCAUGAUAUUGUGGUAUAAGGUAGUUUUGCAAGACGUCGGCAUUGGGGGAAACUGGGUGAAGGGUACGUGAGAAUUCUAUGUGAAUCUAUACAAGUUUAAUUUUUAAAAUAUAUACAGAGUCUACUCCCAAAAAUGUAUAUACACUCCAAGAAAAGAAAUAUAGGAUGAUGUUUUUCCAACCCUCGUAUGGGGGAUCCUAGAGGAUGUCGUAUAUCGCAGAAAACCCACUCCACUGCUAGCCCUUAGAGAAGAAAUUAAAAGUACACGUGCAGCAAUUUCAAUGACCAAGGUUACACAAGCAGUAGUUGGCUGUACUAACAAAGUUCUGGAAGCCAGUGACCACACUUUGGCCACCUCUUGUAACUGUAGAGGCUGAAGGUAACUUACAUUAAACUCAUGAUGUCUCAAUAAAUUUAGUAUUAAAAUAUUUAUACAAGCUUUUCUUUUCUUGAAGUGCAUAUACUUUUUUGGUGAACUCUGUAUAUAUAUGGGAGAGAGAGUGGAGUUCACAGACCCCCAGCCCUUCACCCCUUGCAUGCACUCCAGGAGAAGCUUGCAUGGUGUCUUUUUGCAGCAAGGUAUCUUCAGGUGUCUGUCCUGGAUGCCUUUGGGCAGGACCAAGAGGAAUACAUGCCUGAGAGCUAGGCAGAUGGCACUCGGAGAGACAGAUGGCCAGAAUCCCCAGAGGUGGGAGCACUCACUGAGCACCUACUAGGUGCCAGGUGCUGUUCCAGGGCUAGAGACUGAGGUUAGGAAAGCUGGUGCAGCUUCCCACAGGUUUGCAUUGUACAGUUGAAGACAGAUGUAAACCAGGAACAGGGCAAUGCCAGGUGGUGACAGGUGCUGUGAAGAAGAUGAAAGAGCAGAGUGUGACAGAGUAGCUGGGGGCUGCUUUUGCUGGAGCAGUCAGGGAAGGCUUCUUUGAGGAAAACCUAAGUGAGAAGGAGGCAGCCAUGGGGACAUGUGAGGGAGAGUAUUCUAUGCAGGAGGAAGAGCAGGUGCAGGAUCUCUGAGACAGGAAUAAGCUUGUGCACGAGGGGCAAGAUGAAGACCAUAGGAAGGGAAGCACUGGCAUUGGGAGCUGGAGGGCGAUGAAGCUAAAAAGACAGGCAAAGGCCAGAUCCUAUAGGCAGGUGCUUGCAGAUGUUGGUAAGGAGUUGGUAUUGGGAGUCUCUGGCAGGUCUGAAGUAGGUACAUGGCCAGCUAUGUGUGGAUGGGUUUUAGAAGGGCAGGAGUGGAAAAUAGUAGACCACAUUGUACUACUGCAAUGGUCCAUGCAAGAGGGCAGUGUCAUGAGUAGGGCUUUGGCAUUGGCAUGGGAAACCUGUUGGAUUGGGGUUGCUCUGAGAGGAGAGCUAUCAGAGAUUUGCUGGUGGUUUACACAUGGAUGCGAUGGCAAGAAAAAGAUCCAGGAUGAUUCCCAGGUCUGCUGUUUCAUUCUAUCCCAGCUAACUCCAAAGGACUGGUCAGAGAAUGUCCUUCAGAGAAUAGCACUAAAAAUAGAUGAGAAUUGGGCUGAGCCUCAAAAAGUGUGGGUUGAAGGGGUGACCCCCUCACCAGUUUCACCACUCUGGUCCUUAGGCUCUUUCUUGCUGCAGGGAGCAGACCUGCUCUGCUUUUCUUGUACAUGGAGCUGAUUGUAAGAUGGUGGUGAGGUGAGGGGGUUUGGCAGCCAUCCUGGCAGUGGUCCUGUGACACCCAGGAGAACGGGGGCACAGUCUUCCCCCACCUAAGCAGCUAUCAGCAGACAUCAUAUACUGUCCAUGUCUCCACUGUUCUGAGCCAGCUGUGGUUUGGAGCCCCCUGCAGACAUGCUGCCUCCUCCUUCACUCUCUGGGCUGCACACUCCAGAUGCCCUGCAGGGAGAGUCUCCUAGGAUUGGCUGGUCCAUCCAGGCCAUGUCUGCAGGGCAGAGGGCUCGGGCCAGGCCAUUGCCAAGGCAGCUGGAGUCCUUGAUGCAUCCCCCAAAAGCCAUUGCCUUUGACUUGUUCUGGGCCUAGUUGUGGCCCAAGCAUCAUGGAACAGAAAAUGUGCAUAGCAGCACAAGUGCCCGGGGCUGGGUGUGACCUCCAGAGGUGUGGCAGGCAUUGGCAUAGACGUCCUGGACACAAAAGCUGUGCAAUUCAGGAAGGCCAGUGUCCAGUGGAUGAGAAGGACCUAACAUGUCAGUAAGGUGGACAGCUUCUGUCGGCAAAAGUGGGAGGCACGCAGAAAAUAACCUUGGAUUUGUGUAAUAGUAUCUCUUGUGAUGUGGGAUUAAUUUUAUCUUUGGUGCUGCAUCUUUGGUGGCCCAGGGAACGCUGCAUUUCUCCACUCUCUUCCGUCCAUCAAAGUGGCUCCUCAAAGAGCACUUCUCACAUUCCUCACCCCAAGGAUAGAACAGAAUCACCUCAAGCACAGAACCAUGGCCCUAGGGGACAUGGCCUUCACCUGCUUCCUUUUUAUCUGCCUCGCCUAAUUCAUCUUUCCUUUCUUUUUCUCCCUUAAUCCCUCGAAGUUAGCCAGGGAGGGGCAGAAAGGAAUCUUGGUUUUUGUCUGACUCUAUAGGAGUACAGUUGCUAGAACUGAACUGUGUUUCCCCUAAAUUCCUAGGUUGAGCCCGAAUCCUACUGUAAGUGUAUGUGGACAGAGGCCUUGAGGGGGGAAAGGGUCCUGCAGAGCACUGGUAUUCUUAGGAGAAGAGACGCUAGAGGUUGCUUCCUCCCCUGCACACACAGAGGAAAGUUCAUCGGGGUCAGACAGAAGGCAGAUGUCUACAAGCCAGGAAGAAAGUCCUCACUAGACAGCUAAUCCUCAGAACCUUGAUCUGAGACUCCGCAGCCUCCAGAACUUUGUGAAAUUACACUCCUGUUGUUUCAGCCAGCCAGUCAUUGGUAUUUUGAUGUGAAAGAAUGAGCAAACCAAGACAAUGAUAUUUUCAAAUAAGUUGUUUUCUAUGUACCGAGAGUUUUUUGAUGUGUCAAAAUUUUUUUGGUGCUCACAUGCUAGGGAUCAGUUAUUCUGGUCCCCAAGCCAGAUAAAUUAGAUAGCAUCAUUGCUACUGCAGAACCCUAAUGGCUUCACAAGUAGUUUAUAAUAAAAUCGGAGACUGUAACAUGAUCAAUGUGACCCUAGCUUUGCCUGCUGCUCCAGCUUCCCUUCCUAACUCCUCAUCCCCCGUUACUGCUGUCCUUCCCCCAGCAUGUUCCCACCCCAGGGCCUUUGCAUUUGCCAUUCCUUCUGCCUGGAAUGCCUUUUUGUACCAUUUCAUUUCAAAUAGCAGUCCCUAGCACUUUCUAUUCUCUUACCUUUAUUUUUUAUUUUUCAUAACAUUAAUCACUACUCAUACUAUUUAUGCAUAAUACUAACAUGUUUAUUUGUUUAUGUCCUCCACUGGAAUACUUCCACACCUUGAAGCUUGAAGUCAGCAGAACCAAGGAGGCUCUGGAGCCACACCUAGCCCCUUCCCAAGCCAGGGAUCCUCUGCCCUUUCUGUGAAUGGUAGUUACACACCAGGAGGCAGAGUAAAGUACAAAGCUUUGAAGUCAGCUGGUUCUAGAUUCAAGUUUCACCUCUCUUAUUCACUCUUUUGUGCUUUGGGCUAAAUUCCUUGGCCUCUCAAAGUGCUCUUUCCUUGCCAUGAAGAUAGAAACAAUGCCAUCCUAUCCCUUGAGUUUUUUCCUUCUGUAACCCUCUGGGCCUCAUGUAUAGUUGGUGAGUGGACUAAAGACCUCAAAAAGCCACCUUCUCAUAUAGCUUUGCAGAAUGUAGAAAGCUUGAAUCAAUGACCUCUAUGUAUACUAGCAAUGCCAGAGCUAUAAAUCAGCAACAGGAACAAAAUAUUGCUGUCAGGGGGGCCAUCUGGAGAUCUCAGAGGGCCCCACUUUGAGAAUUACUGCUGGAGCAUUUACUCCUAUUGAUUUGUUGAACCCAUACAUUUUGGCCAUUGGCUUUGGGAGUUCUGAGAGUGGGAAGCCCUUCACUUUGUUUGUCAUUAAAGAAUACCUGAUGGGGUUCUUUUUGCUAGAUUGUUGUUUCUGUGUCUUCCACCCCCAAAAUGGAGCGCCUUUACUUACAUUUGUUGAAUCUGUGCCUAAACCAGAGCUCAGAGUUCAAGGCUGUCAUUUGCUCUAAGAAAAGGUUUGUUUCCCAGAGUUUAAGUGACAGGCACAGCAGCAAAGCCUGAGUCCAUUUGUAGAACUCAGCCAGGCCUUAAGCUGGAGGGAUAAUAGAGGUGGAGGGUAAAACAGCAGUGGUUUUGGAACCAGACAGGCUAGGUAGGAUCAUCUCUGCAUUGUUUCUCAGGAUGUUAAGUCUCACAGAAGAGAGAUACCUUAACCAUGGUCUCAUUGCUAGUGUUUACCAGAGCUGACCCAGAGGCUGCUCUCUGGAAGUCCUUUUUUGUACAUUUGCAACACAAGCUGAUCCAUCCAUAUCACAAGCAUCCAUAUCACCUGGAAACAGAAAUGCAGCUCACAGGGCUGGUCUUGGUUACUUUCCCAUUGCUAAGACAAAAUACCCAACACCCUCAAGUUACAGUAGGAAAGGUUUCUUUUAGCUCACAGUUUGUAGAGGUUUCAGUCCAUAGUCAGCUGGCUCCAAAGCAGGGUAGCAUGGCGGGGUGGCAUGGCAUGGCUGAGGAGAAAGAGUUCAUAACCUAGCAGGCAGGAAGCAGCAUGCCCUAUUUUGUUCCCUUUUUAUUCCAUCCAAGGUGCAAGCCUAUUGCUUUGUGCCACCCACACCUAGGGUUGGUCAUCCCUCUUCAGUAAGCCCAUUAUCCACACCCAGAACUAUGCUAAACCAAUCAGUAGACUAAACCAGUAUCACACACCUAUGAUCCCAGGCAUCUCCCAAAAGCCCCACCUAUGAGUGCAUGAGGCUUUGGGAGACAUCUGAAUCAGUGGUGGUGAACCCAUGGCACACGUGCUGCAGCAGGCUGUUUGUAGCAUGGAAAGCUCUAAAAGGUUCACCACCACUGAUCUAAAUGUAAGUCCUAAGAGACCUGAUCCCAGAUCAUCUGAUUCAGAAUCUGAAUUUUAAAAAGAUGGCUUGGGUGAUUCUAAUGCACAUUAAAAUUGGAGGAGUACAUCCAUGCACACCCCCUCUGGUGGAGAGUAAAAUGGUGACUUGUCCCUAAGCAAGAAUUCCCAUCUCUAUUGGGUGUUGGCACAGUGUUGGGCUAAACAGCAAAGCUCAAGGCCUCCACUGUCCAAGUUCAAACCCUGGUGCCCUGCGUAUCAGCUAUAUGAUGUUGCACAGGUUAGGUCAUUUUUCUGUGUGUCAGUGUCCUUAACUCUGGGUGGAUCAUAAGAGAACGACCUCCCAACCUGACUAUUGCCUGGGUUAAAUGAAAUAGCCAAUGUCCCCUGAACCUUGCUGUAAGACAGGCGAUACUCUUAAAUUUUCCAUGAGCUUAGACUCACACCCUGUGUUCCAGUGUCAGAUCAGUGUUGCUUUUUCCUUACCUCAUGGGACUCUAGAAAGAAGUAUGACACCUUUUACAGUACUAAUGCAAAGAGGUUAGCUCAUAAUGCUCUAAAGCCUCAGCAAUCCCCAUGUUGAGCAUUCCCUUAACUGCAGGGUUUCCUACGAGAGAGUCUCAGGCUUUGGUUUAAUCUUAAAGUUGGCAUCUGGAGGCUCAUCCCAGCAGAUAUUGCAGAAUGUUCUGGGAAGAUCCUUUUCAGCUAAACAACUGAUUCUCGUGUAGUUUAUAGACAGCAAUUCCAAGCUAAGAGACCAUAUAAAAUGAUAGGAUUCGGGAGCUGUCAAACUUCCUGGUAAUCACUACAUUCAAACACCUCAUUCUGCAGAUAAGAAAACAGCUUCAGAGAGGUCAAAUGGCUUGCUUAAGGUCACCCAGUUGGUUAAUGGCAGGAACAGAGGUAAAAGGAAGGGCUCAUUCUCAACCCAGUGCUUCCCUCUAUAAAUGUGCAGGUGUCCUCUCACUCUUUCAUUCAACAAAUAUUUCUUAAAAGUUUACAUUGUGCUGGGUGCUAUUUAGAAGCUGGGGAAAUAGUGAUGAGGACUAUAGGAAGGUAUCUGUCCUUUGAAGCUUCCAUGCUGAGAAAGGAGGAAAAAGUGAGCAUGAAAGGGAACAAAGAACCAAAUGAUUUUGGAUGCUAUUGACUGCAAAGAAGGACACAGAAUGCAGGGGAAGGUGCUAGGAAUUGACUUGGGCUGGGAAUCUGGCUGGGACAGUAUCCUCUGAGAUGGCAGAUUAGAGACAAGCCAUGAAUGAAGGAUAGGAGUGAGUCAAGCAAGUGUGGUGGUAAGAAGCUUCCAACAAGAGUCAGCUCACUGCUCCCUCCCGGCUCUUCUUCCAGCCAACCAUCCCAGGUUAGCUUCCUCUGACACAGAUGCAGAGACACUGAUCCAUCUGCAUGCAGAGGAUUUCUGGAGCAUGGAGGAAGUGGGGAUGAGCAGAGGCAGGUGGGCUGUGAUGCAAUUGCAAUGAGGCCUGAGUCUGUUCUAUGGAGGUUUUGAGGUGAAAUGGCUCUUCAGAGUGGUCCUACUUUGAGGCCAAGGGGCCAGGUCUUUGUCCUCAUGGCACUGAUCAGUUGCUGGAUACAGACUGAUCCUGGGAAAUGCGGUGGUCUUAUCUCAGGCAGCUCCCUUCCGGUGAAGGAACUUCCUGGGGGAGGGACUCGCAUGUGAGCUGUCAGUGGGCCAUACCCCACCACUGGGAGACAGAGGGAGGGGGCUCUGCUCUGUCACCACCUGCAUCCUCCACAGCCCUCACCUGGGUCCUCAAACUGUUCCUGGUAGGAUUCUCCCACUGCAGGAAAUGAGGACAUCUGUAUCUUGGCUUAUGUUUGCCUUGUCUGAGUAUUCAUUUAUUGAUCACAGAAUUGUUGAUGUUUGCUGUUUUCUGACUUCUGGGCUAGGUACUGUAGCGACAGAAAUGAAUUUGGUAAGUUUCCAUCCUGGAGCUUACAGGACUUGGAGGGGAAAAAUACAAGUAGAUAGAGACAGUUACACAGGUAUUUUUGAGCAGUGAAUUAUCUCAGAAUACUUCUGCUGGGAGGGAAGAUGUGGUCACUUCAACCUUCAAAUCCAUGGGAUCAAUGGGAGCUUUUUUACCUGAAUAUAUCCACUUUUAUAUACCAAACAGGGGUCAUGGAAUUUUAUAAACCCAUUUGAUUAGCCUGGGAAGGAAGGAAAGCAUGAAGGGAGAAAUAAAUGAACUUGUACACCAAUAACAAGACGAAUAGUGACUAAUAUUUAAUUUGCCUUACUGUGUGCCAGGCAUGGUUCUGAAAACUAAGUGUGAAUGAGCUCACAAAGGCCUCUCAGUAUUUCUACUAGAGAGACACUGUUGCAGAUGAGGAAACUAUAAUAGAAAUUUCAGAGUUCUUGGGUCUUUUUUUAAAAUUAGGAACAUAAAUGCAUGUUCUGCACUUUGAUUUGAUUCUAUAGGAAAAAUUGAAUUGCUGGAGUAUUUAAUAUAUGUGUUAAUGAUCUAGAUCUAUAGCCUCCAAUCAGUCUAUAUCCUCUGUCCUUUCUUUAGCAUUCACUGAAACUGCUGCUCUGGCUGGGAUGGAGUGGGGAGGAGAGGGAGCCUGAACCAACCCAUUCUCCAGUUUCCCCGCCCACCCGCUCCCCAGCAGGGUCUUGGACAUCAUAACUGGAACUUUGGUGGCACCCAAAAAUAAUGUAAAACCCAACUAAUCUAGAAUCCAGCACUGAUUUGCAGGUGAUAGGAAAUUGGUGAAACUGGCAAAUAGUGGCAGGGAAGAGGUGCCACCAUGCCAGCCAACAGGGUGAAGAAGGAAAUGAAGAUUCAGAAAAAACAUCACAUGGGUUCAGGUUUCAGCUGGUGCCAGUGAGGAUAUUCAGUGAAACGCUCUUGGUGACCACUGGAAAAGGUGAAUUUCAUGUAGAUUUGUAAUAGAACAAGAAUGCACCUCUUCAUCUGCUGAGGCUCAUGCUUCUUACCUGUUUCAGUCAGAAUUCCCUGAUCUUUACUGCCAGCAGCCCCCCCCCCCCCAGCUUUAAGACAGCCUGGCUACCACCUUGCCUGGGGGUUUCUCCCACCGAAGAAUAGUAGAGGUAGGAAAGCGCUUUGGGUAGAGAAAACAGCUGGGACUUUGGAAUCUCGCAGACAGCUGUGGCUUCUGUGUGACUUGGGAAGAAGCCAUGCUUCUUUGCGCUUCUCUAUCUUCAUCUGUAAACCAGAGGCAAUAAGAUGAUAAGUCCUCCACUAAAGAAUGAGGGGAUUAAAGUAACCAGAUUGGUGCCAAGUUCGUGGCAGUGUGUGGUCACUAUUCAUGCAGACUACAACUGCCUGAGCAGAUUUGAAGUCAGUAACUUUUUCCCUGGUUUUAUUAAAGUAAUACAUUUAUAUAAUAUUUGAAAAACAUAUGCACCCAUUAUCUUGCUACCUAACAACAGCCACUGUUAAUGUUUUGAUGUAUUUACUUUUAUGCUUUUUUCUGAUAAAUGAUUUUUACUGUAUUUAUAGUUCUAGAUUCUCUUGACUCAUCAUGAACAUUUUUCCAUGUCAGCUAUAAGUUUUGGGAGAAAAAAACAUGAUUACUAGUGGCCAUAUGAUAUUAUAUUAUUUGGGUUUAUCAUUAUUAACUUAGCCAUUUUCCCAACUGGUCAUUCAAGAUGUUCCUUAUUUUUUGCUCUUACCAAUGAUCACUAAUAAUAAACAAAAUAUUCUUUAAGCCCAUCUCUGAUUAUUUCACUUGAAUAAAUUCCUAGGUGUAUAUUACUGGGUCAGAGGGAAUAUAAGGCCAAACCAAAAGGUUGUAUCAGUUUACAUUCUUGAACUGGGCUUUGAAAGAGGAGCAAUUUCUGAGGCUACAUUUCCUGUUCUGUAAAAUGUAGAUAAUAGUAUGACCUUGACAGUUUCCUCAGUACUGAAUGGUUUGUGUACAUGAGCCAUCAAGCUGGUCCAGUGCCUGGUGCCCUUCCCCCUUUAUCUUCCUGACAGCCCAGCCUAACUGUCUCAUGGAAUGAACCACAAUGUGAUCACACAUCCCAUAAAGGGGCAGGGCAUUUGCCCCUGCAGGCACACUUGAAACCCUGAGUAAGUGUGGCUGCCAGUCUAAGACCAAAUACUCUAAUUAGAACUCCCCAUUUCUCUGAG